rnacentral:lncRNA from 1 species
GUACAUUAAAAUGCCCAAAUGUACUGCAAAUAGCCAAUUUGACUGGCUGCCCAUGAAAACUCUAGGGUUAUAUCAUAAAGGAGAUGUUAACGUGUUUUAAUGAGGGGUUAUCAUAACAUCAGCAAAGUUUCCUCAAUAUUUUUGUGAGCAGAGCAACCAAUUUAUUUAAAAUCAUCAAAAAUUAAAUAGCCUUUUGAGAGUCACACAGAAGUUGCUCUUUCUGGUUUUAGCCCAGGUUAGUUUGAAUUGCAUUUAAACUUGCUUCCAAAAGGGUGAAUAAAAAAAAUAAAAGAAUCAGGUAUUUUUCCCCUUGUAGCUUUUCAGACUUUAGAAAGUUGGGAAAAAGUAUAAACCCACCCAUCCGUGUCUGUUCUGGGAUGGUAAUCAGGUGAUCUCGAACAGAACAUGUAUCCAAGGUGUGUGUUUGUAGAGUUUAUGGUGAGAAGAAGCUAUAACCGUGUGUGUCCUUGCUUGCGUCUCCCUCCCUGUGCAUUGGUCAGGGUGAGGUGGAGCAGAUAGCCAUGAUGAAGCCCAAGGGGCAGACGGAGCAUGAUGAGGGCAUGAUGGAAUACCUGGAGGACAUCAUUGCCGCCUGAAGCAGCCCAUCCACACCCUGAGGUGCUGUGUGGAGCUCCUCAAUGGGGAGAGAAGCUAAACAGGGUCAGAAUGGUGGAGAAGACUUGCUCUGGAGGGAGUGAAGAACACAGCCGUGGAGUUCCUCACUCUGGAGAAUGAUAUUUUCAAACAAAAGAGCCAGCUCUGCUAGUACUGUGUCCAUGACUUCCAGAAGAGUGGCAAACAAAGAGGAGGAGAAGCAGAGGAUCCAAGACGACACCAAGGAACUCAGAGAAGAACAACAACAUCGCUGAAGAGAUGAAGAAGAAACAAGGCAAGCUGACCAAGUACAAAGAGUUCCAGCAGGAGAAGUU